GUGGGGAAUAUUGGACAAUGGGCGCAAGCCUGAUCCAGCAAUGCCGCGUGUGUGAAGAAGGUCUUCGGAUCGUAAAGCACUUUCGACGGGGACGAUGAUGACGGUACCCGUAGAAGAAGCCCCGGCUAACUUCGUGCCAGCAGCCGCGGUAAUACGAAGGGGGCUAGCGUUACUCGGAAUUACUGGGCGUAAAGGGCGCGUAGGCGGCGCUCCAAGUUAGGCGUGAAAGUCCUGGGCUCAACCUGGGAACUGCGCUUGAUACUGGAGUGCUUGAGGAUGGAAGAGGGUCGUGGAAUUCCCAGUGUAGAGGUGAAAUUCGUAGAUAUUGGGAAGAACACCGGUGGCGAAGGCGGCGACCUGGUCCAUUACUGACGCUGAGGCGCGACAGCGUGGGGAGCAAACAGGAUUAGAAACCCCAGUAGUCC
rnacentral:rRNA from 1 species